rnacentral:rRNA from 1 species
AUGACUGUACCCGGUAAAGAAGUCCCGGCUAACUCCGUGCCAGCAGCCGCGGUAAUACGGAGGGGACUAGCGUUGUUCGGAAUUACUGGGCGUAAAGCGCGCGUAGGCGGACUAUUAAGUCAGGGGUGAAAUCCCGGGGCUCAACCCCGGAACUGCCCUUGAUACUGGUAGUCUGGAGUUCUGGAGAGGUGAGUGGAAUUCCGAGUGUAGAGGUGAAAUUCGUAGAUAUUCGGAGGAACACCAGUGGCGAAGGCGGCUCACUGGCCAGAUACUGACGCUGAGGUGCGAAAGUGUGGGGAGCAAACAGGAUUAGAUACCCUGGUAGUCCACACCGUAAACGAUGAAUGCCAGACGUCGGGCAGCAUGCUGUUCGGUGUCACACCUAACGGAUUAAGCAUUCCGCCUGGGGAGUACGGCCGCAAGGUUAAAACUCAAGGGAANUUUNUNUUAUUGUUGGGNGNGGUGAANANCAGCNUUUGACUG